AUUUUUACGCACAAGUGCAGGUACGCCACUGUUUCACCCCCAAGACUUGCACCUAUGGUCAACACCGUUUACAGUGACGGCAAACUGAAGGAAUCAGACGGAGGGAGUCUCACAGCAAUUUUGAAGAUCUACUGCAUGUCAGAAAGUUGAUCUGAUGAGACACCUCAUCUGUGAAGAGCCUGCCCAGGAUGUUCCAGGUCACCCUCUUCACAUCCUGGCCUCCAAUGGUGGCCAAAGAAGAAAUCUAAAAGGCAAAGACAUCUUUUUUAAAUAGACAGCAAGGUAAACAUUUCUAAGUUCAAGUUGAAUUUAAAGGUGCAUUUAAAAUGUUUUUGUUCCUUUUGAAAGCGUCCAGAAAUGUAGAAAAACAUAGAAAAAUUCUGUUUCUACUUUUUUCUGUAAAGAAAAAAAAAAAGUUUUCUUCUAAAUUAUGUUUUAUUAAAAAAAGUUUGGGAGGACCACGAUCAGAUAAUUAACAUGAGUGGAGAGGUGUAUAUACAGGAUAUAGAUUCAGCAGUCUCGCCUCAAUCAACUGACAGUUU
ensembl:lncRNA